rnacentral:rRNA from 1 species
AUUGAACGCUGGCGGCAGGCCUAACACAUGCAAGUCGAACGAGUGGCGGACGGGUGAGUAAUGUCUGGGAAACUGCCUGAUGGAGGGGGAUCACUACUGGAAACGGUAGCUACUCCCGCAUUCCCUCAGCUGUGCCCACAUGGGAUUAGCUUGUGGGUGGGGUAACGGCUCACCAAGGCGACGAUCCCUAGCUGGUCUGAGAGGAUGAACAGCCACACUGGAACGGAGAAACGGUCCAGACUCAUACGGGAGGAAGCAGUGGGGAAUAUUGCACAAUGGGGGAAAGCCGGAAACAGCCAUGCCGCGUGUAGGAAGAAGGCAUUGGGGUUGUAAAGUACUUGCAGGGGGGAGGCGUUACCCGCAGAAGAAGCACCGGCUAACUCCGAGCCAGCAGCCGCGGUAAUAC